CCCACCCCGUGGUCCAGGUAGCAGAUACAUCUGGUUGGGCUGAUCUGUCACCUCUUGAAGUCAAUACCUCCAGGUACCACGAGGCCACUCUGUGAUGCAGAGGAGUUGGUUCCACCUUCCUCUUCUCCUUGCUUUCUCACAGCCUCCUCCCUGAAUGAGGCAGGUGGGAUCUGGGCUUAUUGUCUCCAUCUGUUCAUCAGCCCAGCACCACUUCUAGACUCAUCCCUCCCAUACCAAGCCCCACCGUUUGUCCUCUGGGAUGUGGUGCCUUCAAGCUGCCCUAGUGCAACCAUAGGUCAGGGGACAGAUCCCAUGCAGGUCUGCGAACUUUCUUAACUCAGAGCAGGUAAGGGAGCCCACUGGACAUUUUGCUGCCGUCAGCUUCCUCUCUGUUGGGAAAUUGGAUGGGUGUUUUGCCAGAAAGUUACAAGGAAAAUGGUUUUCCCUUCCCCAAAACUAGGAGAGUGCCAUGCUCGCUGGCAGGUCCUGCUAGGCAGCUGGGAAGCCAGUAAAGAGAAAAACUUUAUGCCCCAUCCAUCCUUCCCACCCCAAAGGAAAUAGUCCUGUGCAUUUUCUUAUGCUGGCACAUCAUGAAAACCAAUGCUGUCAUGUUUUCUAGUUGCAUAUUGGGACUUGGACUUUCCACCAUGAAGACACCAGCGCUGUCCUUGUCACCGGCUCCUGGUGCUGUGAACAUGCUGAAUAUGGCUGAUGUCCCCAUCGCUAGGGUGGGCAUGGGGGUAUCCACAUUAUAUAGCCCUACAGAAAACACAUGCUCUCUUCAGUGAAAACAAGAAAUGAGUUUCACUGAGGAGUUCUGCAGACUCUGUCAGCUCAUCACAGGUCUUUUCAGUGCUGCUAUGUUUGCUUUAUUUUGGGUGGCAGAGCUAAUGACCCCUUAAAUGAUCAUUUACCACUGCCUUAAUUGAAAAAAAAAGAAGUCUUUUCAAAAACCUGAGUGCCCCUGUGUGAAGCAACAACCUGGCUUUCCCUCUGCCCCCCCUGCCCUGUCCUUCCAGAUUACAUACACCAGGCUCAAUGUUUGUUUUCUACCCUUGGGAUUUAAUUGCAGAGUGUGUUAAGCACGCUGAAAAAAGAACCCUCGCUCAGUGUCCAUCUGCUUAGCUCAGGUCAGCAGGGCUUGUAAUUGAGAUGGACUUUGAAUGCCCUUAGUGCUGCAGGUAUCUUUGGACUCUCUUCCAAGAAUAGAAGGAGAAAGCUUGGUCUCUCUGUGCUAAUACAAAAUCAAAACGGUUUGCUGAAAAACCCAGAGAGGCUUCCAGACAGAAGUUUUCAGAAGGCUCAUGCUGAAAAUAUGACUGUUUCGGCCAGUGUUUUUCUGCACACUGCAGUGGCCAGGAACUAUGUCCCCACUGAGGCUGCAGGACUGAACACCAGUAAAGUGUGUGCUAUGGGUGUUGGAUGGAGCUGUGUAUGUUUCUACACUCACGUUUUAAGGUCCUUUUCCCUUUCCUCCUCCCUACACAAGAGACAAGGCCAGGCUGCCUGGGGAGACCGCCUUUGUCAACUCACAGUCAAAUGAAAACCCCCUGCACUGAGAUUAGGAGGGACUUUCUGGUUAAAGGAACCUUUAGACAAGGUUCUAUGAGCCUCCUGCUCCUGUCCUGACAGUCACCCCAGCUCAAAUCCCAGUCCUGCAGUGUACAACCAUGACUGGGGCAGCUUGUGACUCCUCUUGGCCUUGGAGCUCAGAGGCCAUAAGGGCAAAAUGUAAGGAUGGAGUUCCAGAGGCAACCUCACCUUGUGUGGUGGCCUUGGGGAACAUAAGGUGAACAUAAGCAUAAGUGCUUGAUGAACAAAGCUGCUGGAGCAUCCUCAUGCCAUGUGUCUGUCAAGGAGCAGCAUCAUGGUGCAGUGCCUUGGCGUGUUGGGGAAUGGAGUCAAGACCUGUUGGCCACCAGAAAGGGGACAAACAAAAGGCUACAAAAAUGAGUAGGGGCCUAGAGCACCUUUCUUAUGAGGAGAUACUGAGAGAGCUGGAUCUGUUCAGCCUGGAGAAGAGAAGCUGAGAGGGGGUCUCAUCAAUGUUUAUAAAUAUCACAAGGGUGGGUGUCAAGAGGAUAGACCAGACUCCUUUCAGUGGUGCCCAGCGAUAGGAUAGGAUGGGGGGCAAUGGGCACAGAUUGAAACGUAAGAGGAUACAUCUGAAUAUGAGGAAAAACUUUACUUUGAGAGUACCCGAGCCCUGGAACAGGCUGCCCAGAGAUGUUGUGGAGUCUCCUUCUCUGGAGACAUUCAAACCCGCCUGGACACAUUCCUGUGCAAUCUACUCUAGGUGUACCUGCUUCAGCAGGUGGGUUGGACUAGAUGGUCUCCAGAGGUCCCUUACAACCCUGGCCAUUCUGUGAUUCUGACAUGAAGUGUGUUGCUGCUGCCUGGGGAGCUGCCUUGGAAAGCCGUGGGGUAUGUGUGUGUGGGGAGACAAAAAAAAAAAAGUCAAAAAUAAUAGCAUAAUUGGCUUGCUGGCAGGCAGAGAGGCUGUGAUUAUACUUGUCACUCUCUGCUAACCUCCAAAACAGGUGUUGUGGGUUUGAAGUGCCAAAAUGCUGCUCAGGCUGCAAUCUGUGUGUGUGCAGACUAGGGCAACAGGAGCAGGGGCUGGGGAAGGGCCAGGGGAGUCCUUGCCAAAUGGGCAUGGGCACAGAAAAGGGACAGUCCUGGGAAAGCAGUGUGUGUGACGCGAAUGGACUUGGCCGGGUGUGAAAGGGGGAGCAGCUCCCGGCGGUGCUGGGACCCAGCAGGACAUGUCCUCGGCUGAUGGCAGACGGUGCUCCAGUGAGGAGCCCGGGGAAGGGACUCCUUUUGUAGGCUAAUUUAACUGCUGAAGGGUUUGGUCCAGGUUUAUUAAAGGUCUCAGGUUACUGAAAUCCAACUGGAGUAACUUCAACUCCUGCCAAGAUCCUGAAUUUUUACUUGAUUUUAGGAAUUAGGACUAUAAUGCUUUGUUGCACUCUUGGUCCGGCUCAGUGCCUUUCAUAUAUUUAGGGGAGUUUUUACAUUAUCAAACAUUGCGACGACAAGUGUCUUGGGAUCUUGCAAGGCUGAAUUGUUAAAUGAAAGAGAAGCAAGCUUCAAAACAGAUAAUGAAUUUCUUCUAACUCGUCUGGAGACUGAGAGCCAUAAUUCUGAUUGAUCAGAUAUGGCCUGCUUUGGAGAGGCACCAGAUGUGAUCCAGAUUUUAAAUAGAUGCUGCUACUGUCAAAAUGCAUUUGCUCCCUCCUGGUAUAACAAAAUGAGGAAAUUAAAGCACGGGAAGGUUAAAAGCUAAUGUUUUCCAGCUUGAACAACUGGAGCCUGAGAAAUCAAGGGCACUGGGAGUGAAGUGGAGAGCACACACAUGCGGCAGCCUCGCCAGCAGCCAGACCCAGAGGAUCCAAUCCCAUCCUUGCCUUUUUCUCUUGGCACACUGAUUUCUUUCUGCUGGUUUUCAUCUGGCAUGCCUGGAUAUUUCAAAUACACGCUAAACACUAAAGGGGUUAUUCUGCAGUAAAUGUGGCUAGUUUUGGUACAGUUGAGACUUGGAAAGCAAAACUAUUCUAAGAGAGGGAAACCCUUAAGUCUUCUCUCUUAGUUUGUGAAACCAACAGAAUAAUAUUAAUUCAUUUUUUCCCCCCUGCUAUUGAACAGUAAAAAGCCCGGGAUACCCUGGGAAAACAUUUUCUUAAUGGUUUUCUUAAGGCUGAAUGCCCUACUAGCAGUAAGAAAGACAAAGCAGUAAGAUCUAAGGCCUCUUAGUCCCUAGAAAACUGCAGAGGUUUUUAUGCCGGAAAAAUGAGGGAUUUAUUCCUUUUUUUUCGGUCAAAUGAGUUCAGGGUCAAUGUACAAUUUCUCUUUUUGUUUCUAUUCCAAUGGCCACUUAUUUUGGGGCAUUUUAUUCCCUCAAACUCUGUCUGACUCUGAUCAAACUCUCUCUUUGUUGCUCAAGGGGCUUUGCCGUGUCUGUAGCCACGUACCCACAACUCACAUGAAAUCCAGAAUACUGAUGGACACCAACAGAUUUGCCAGUGAAAACCUGCUCACAUCCUAGCCAAAAUCAUAUAUGCUGUGGUAUAUUUUUACAGUUUCCCCACCUCUGCCCGUGACUCCAUCCCUUGCUCUCCCUCAUUUCCUCCAGCACCGCUGCUCUGGGAUCCCCUCUCAGCUUUUCUCCUCACUGCAUUUCCCCUUGUCCCCAGCCCUUAAUCCACUGUUCCCACCUCUGGUCCAGUGACUGAGAGCAGGUGGAAAGGCAGAUGACAGUAUAAAUAUUUAUGUCAGGAAGGCUGCACCUGGAAGUGUUUCCUGCUAAAGCUGUCACCCUAAAAAAAAAACAAAUUAAAAAAUCCUAUCCAUCCCAAAAUGCAAUCCGCGGAGGUGUCUUUCAUUGGCACGGCCACCAGAGCAAUAUGUAUAAUUAUUAGUAAACCCUGGGUGUAUGAAAUUAAACAGACCUGAAGUUGCCAGGAUCAGAUUAUUGAUAUAUUUCUAAAGGACAGUUACAAUGGGAAGCCAGAUGACUACACGAGUAAAGCAACCAUUUAAGUAUAUAACACAUCUUGUCAGUUUGAUAUGUUGGUUUCUGACUCUGGUCAAGUGUAAAUGGGAAAACUCCCACUGAAGUUUCUAUUUUUUUACCUAAUAUACUGACUUCCAUGUUAGUCUUGCACCAGCCAGUACAGCAUCCAGGUGCCAGUGAAUAUCUUAUGGACACAGAAUUAAGCAAAUAAAACAAUUUGCAAGCGGCUCUAAUAAGCACCAUCCCAGUGCAUGCCUGGAAAUUCUUUAAGAUUCAUUAAGCAGUCAGCAAAUAAGACACAUUUGUCUCCCAUUGAAGAGUAAAUUGGAAAUACUGAAAUGAAACCUAUGCAUGGCUAUGAUUUGUCAGAGAGCAUAUUAGCAGGAACAGCCACAGUAUGUUUAGCAGUUGGAUAUGAGUUAAAGCAGGAACUGGAGUGAGAGGAACUAUUUUAAGUCAUACUCUGAAAGUACAUUUAAAAGCAUCUGCAGUUACAGCCAUCUUUGACUCUUCCAGGAGGAAGUUGCCAUUUGUUGCAGAGCUGCUGUUGCUUUAGUUUGACACUCAAUAUGUGUUUUCCCCACAGUAUUAGAUAUCUUGGGCUCUAUCCAGGACACAUUUGGAAAUGAACUGAUCCCUAUAGUUCCUAUGCAACGAUGAGAUUUACUACUUAGGCCGACACGUAUCUUUGUGGUUUCUAGGGUCACUUUUGGUGAGGUUACAUGAAGUGGGGCCGGAGCCCACUGUCACUCAGUUGUUGUUUCAGCCUGACUAUGGCAGAGCACUGCAGGGACCUCAGCGUGGGAACUGCGAUGUUGAGCAUCAUGGAGGGAACAGGUUCGCUCAGCAUGGCCAGAGACGAGGAGAUGCAGCUCUGCUCACAGGCAGUAAGCACCUGAACCAGGCCACAUCACUCAUGGUAGAAGAUCCAGCUUUACCCACUGCGGAUAGCCAGAGGGUAGGAUAAGGAUAGGAGAGUCCCAGAAGAAUAAUUUUGAAAAGGAGAAUGAGGUCGCAUUACUGAGGAUGAGAUCAAGGAAUAAAAUAAGCAUGUAGGGCAGAAAGGUUGCUGUGCUAAAUGAAUUACAACCACUGAGGAGUGAGUGUUAGGAAACAAGGAGAAAGGUGCUAUAAAUACAGUAAAGUAAAAGAAAGACAGCAGCAAGCAGAAGCCCAUUACCUAAUUGGGAACAGGAGAGGCACAGAUGACCUAGAGAAGGCCAACAUAUUUAAUGCCUUUUUGCUUCAGUUUUCUACACCAAAAACGUGCUUCACUGUGAUAUAAAGAUGGCAAGACACAAGAGAGAAGAGGAAAAGAACGUGGUAAAACUGAAUUUAUUCACUAGAGGGUACAAAGGUAAGCAGGCAGCUUUGGCAUACAAACAGAAUGUCUGUCCUCAAAGGAGUAAAAAAUGUGAACCUGGGGUUAUAUACAGCAGUCAGCACCAACACUUACCCAGAUAGGCGUUGGAAUAAAAAGUAAUCAAACUGUACACACCUAGAGAUGUAUGCUGUUAUACGAAACAGCCAGUUGGAUUGACUGAGGAGCAAAUAUUGUCCAGCUGAUCUUGCAUGUGUCUGUGAGAGGGCAGGUGGCUCAGAGAGGCAGACAACGCAGCUGCACAUCUCAGUGUGUAUGGGUCCAGGUGUAGUAAGGCUUUUGGUGCAAUGCCAUCCCUGAGAAAUGUUUGUUUGAAGCAGGUCUGGAUGGGAACCGAGGGCACCUGAGCUUAUCCAGUGGCUUUGUCACAGCUUCUCACAUGGCUUUGGGUAAAUGGAGCAACCAUCUUGCUCUUUGUCGGAAAAGUGGAAUAGUUAGCAUCCCAUAUUAUAUCAGGGAACAAAGAGAUUUUUUCUGCUUUGACUAAACUGGGUCUGUUUUGUGUCUGCAAACAGGACCACCACUGGAUUUUUAGAUGCCUCCAAGAGCAAUUAAUAAGGAGGGGUGUCCCCACGAGGAAAUUGCUAGAUACACUCACAUGAAGGAUCUCCUUGUGGAGUGCUUUCAGUCUGCUACUGUGAGCUGUAUAAGGGAGAAGAAGGAGAUGGGUCAAUUAGAUUUAUUUUGCUUUUAUGCAUGGUAGGUGUUUCAAAACACUGAAAAAGUAAAAGAAGGCUGAAAGGCAUGGAUAGCUUGGUGAGAGGUGAUUUUGCUGGUAUAAUUGAGUGAGAAGAAGCAAGGGAGAGGGAGACCUUUCCUUUGAAGACAAAGGAAAAGGAGAUCAUUUUUAGGAUUUCCACUUCCUAGCACUUCUUCCAUCAGUACCUACUGAUCCUACAACCAGCCUUCUAUUUGUAGGUUAAAAAAAGUUCAGAAAUUCUCAGGUUUUUUUUCGAAGGGCAGAGCGUUGUUUGGGGAUUAUGCAACAGGAGGUACACACCACAGAAAGACAAGAACCUGCACAUUCAACCCUGCACAGGAUUAACAUGCACAUGACAGCACAUAUGAGUUUCAUGCAUUGCAAAAGCUUUGGUGUACUGAUCAGAACCUGAUAUAUUCAGCUUAUGGGCUGGUGUUACUCUUCUAUUUAUGUGGUCUAAGAAAAGGAAAAGAGAGAGGCAAGCCUUCAGGGGCAGUGACCCUUUCUUUAUGCAAACCUGAACAGAAGGAGGGGCUUUACUUCCAAUAACUCAUAUUUUCUUUCUUCUUGCCACACAAUGAGAGCUCUGAAAGAAAAGGUCCUUGGAACUAACAAGGCUGAUCAUCAAGGAAACCUCUGUGCCUUCUGAAUCCUUGGGCUGUGGAAAAGAUUUAGUGCUAUACUGAACCAACCUUCAGAAGCAGAAGUUACGAAAGCUCAAUUUAAUGGUUGAUUUUAAAACUGGCUCUGCACAGAUAUUUUCUGCUCUUCCCUGAAACAACACAGCAUGGACCUAUGUAUGCAUUCAUCUCCCAAAGAGCCAAAUAAUGCCCAGUAUUUCACAUAUGAUUGCAGCAGAUGCCUUCAGCAGUCAAUAGUGGGCCCAAGGUUAAUGUUUGACAUUGAGGUGGGAGGAGAAAUACAAUGGCGUUAAAUUAUGGUCAUUAUAAUGGUAGGUUAAAACCAGUGUUGCUGCAGAGAGGUCCUGGUGGGAAUUGUCUUCUUAGAGGGUGUUAAGUAGAACAGCCUGCUGGAAAGGACAGCAUGAAGAAAUAUAAAUAACUGCACACAGGAGGACAGGAUGUGCUUCAGAGGAAAGAGCAGUGCAAGGGUAGGGCUGUGCUUUGAAUAAUGUUAAUCUGAUGGUUUUAUGCCUGCUUGUUUUUCACACAUGUAACAUGGUGGCAAGAGCAAGGAAAAAGGCUGUUGGGAGAACUGCUGGUCCCAGCCUUCAAACCUCUGGGUGACAGUAGCUAUGCUGUGGCACUGACUUAGUUAAUGCUGUCUGGAAAAAUACAUAAAGACACUCAAAAAUAGAUAAAAGUACUCACAUGAUGCUGUGUUUUAACCAUCAAAUUCAGUUCUUCCUAUGGUCCUUUCUCAGCACACUGGCUGCCCUCAUGAUGCUCUUGAAUGUGUCUACCAAAAGUGUAGCUCCAGCAUUGCAGAGUUAUCUCCUUGGACACUGGUGGAAAUGCUAGCAGGAGCCAAAGUAGACUGCCUUAGGAAGAAUGUCAUUGAGAAUGGCUUUAGUAAGUUUUCUUGAUUCUUGUGUUUCUGUUGCCAGCCUGAUUUCUUGCUGCCCAGGUGUACCACUGCGGUUUGAACUGCAUAGCUGGGCACUUGGUGUAUCUGAAAAUAGCAACCUGAAAAUCUACUGCCUUGUGCUCUGCUAUAGGAGUGCAAAUCACAAAAGGAGCAGGCCCAUAGCCUCUGCCUUGCACAAGAGUGCUGACAAAUGCAAGAGACAGUUAAUAUAAAAUGCAUGAUGCAGUUGCUGAUUUUGUUGCAAACCCAGGAAAGACAUCACUGACAUCCCUGGAGAGUCAAAAGAAUAAAACUGAUGUGAGAAGAUAAUAAGUUUUGUCAGUUGUACUAGUUUUUCUAGUUGUACUUAUUGUUUUUAAUUUUUAAAUUUGGCCUCUGCUAAGACCCUGACUCCUGUUGAUCCAGCUGGAAGAGGCAAGGUGAAGUUGGUUGACAUCAAGCUACUGCAGUGUCCAUCCUCACUGGCAAUGGGCAAUACACCACCACAGGUAGGCUGGGAUGCCAAGUAUGUGCCAAGAUGUACCAAAAAGAUGUAGCAUUGGGAUUAGCACGGCAGGGAGGUGCCCAGGACACUAUGUGUUAGCCACACUAACACUCUGGUGUUAGCCAGGCUUGGUGGUGACCCACUGUUCCAGAGCUGAUGUACCCCGGAUAUUCUCUUCCUCUUCUGCUGGACCAUAUUUCACAAGUCUCAUCUUCCACCUUCCAUGCAACAUCUCUGACUCUGUCCCAUGGAGAGAAAGGAUGGAGCUGACCUCAAGUAGAAGCCAUUACUGAGCACACUGAUGUCUGGUGACCACUGACCCCAAAGGCCAAGGGCAGGAGCUGAGUUUCACAUCCUUUGGGAUCCUCUUAACAGCAGAGCUGCUAUGCUGAUGCUCACACAGAGAAGAAGAAAAGCAGGGGUCAUCAGUACUGUGUGUAGAUAGAUACUAAUGACAUUAGAUGGGCACUGAGCAACAGAUUUGGUGGAGGCUGCAAUAACACACACCUCCCCGGAAAGGUCAGUGGUCCAUGGGGCUUGACCCCACAUUCCUUGUGCAUCCUCGACCCCCACUGAGGCCAAUCAGACCUAUUCUGUGGCACCAUUAACUUAGAAGAUUUAUGUUCUUCAGGCAGUGGGAGGAGAACUUGAUCUAAUUUCCAGCAUAGUUUUUUGCUUUCCUACCCUCACUCAUGUUAAUGAUAACAGACGUGAAUUCAGCUCAAGUAGCCAGGGAAACAGCUGAAGUUUGACUCUGUUCCCAAGCAGAUGUGAACAACUGGCUUAUUAUUUAACUAAGUUGUUGACAACUAAUGGUCUAAUUGGGGGAGCAAUUGAUUUUGGAAAACAUUUUAAAAGUGCAAACGCAGCUCAACAAUUUAUAACCCAAGUGAUGGUUUAUUGCUUUGACAGAGUUAAGUGGAUUGGUUGGUCAUGAACUUUCAUUGGUUUCUUGUUACCACGAACCACAUUUGAUGCUUUGUAUUUAUCACUUUCUGAAAAUGUGAGUUUUCUUUAAAAAAGAAAGCCCCUACAGUCCUGGAUGUCAUAAAGAAAGGUGUCCUGUAGCAUGCACAUGAAGUUUAGCUUCAGAAAAUGAUGAUUCUCAUCACACCUGGCCUAUUUUUGGAUAAUGUUUAGUUGUUAUGCAGUUUAUUGAGCUGAGCACACUUCAUUCCUCCCACAGCAGGAACAGGACGUGUUUAGCACUGGAUGAGCAUGAGCCCGCACUUUUAAUCCAGAAACUGUUUGGAGAGUUUUGAAAGGCAUGAAACAAGGGUGUGAGCGUGAGAACUGACUGUCAUGUGAGAGUUGCAGCAAGAGGCAUCCUGGGGCAACCUGUGGUCUAAAUCCCCUUUCCUGAACCCAGACUGAUCCGAAGGCAUCCCUUCUUUCAGCUGACUUCCAAUUAAGCCCUUUAUUUUAGAAUAGGUGGGAUUUUCAGCACCACUAAGAAGAGCUAAAGGAGAAAUCAUCUCUGUGGCGAAAGACAAGUCACCCAACUUUGCUACCUGAGCUCUUCCCUUCUGCAAAACAAGGACAAUAAAAUCCAGCUGCUUCAACAUGUUGUGAGGAUUAAUGGAUUAAACAGGCCUGAUCUUGCAUGAAUUGAAGGUUACCAGUUGCCAACUGUGUUGAACAUGGCAACCCUACGUGCUGGUAAAUAUCCAGUCAUUAAUACUUAAUUAUUGUUCUGGAUAGUCAGGUUCUUCUAAGUAUCUACCAGGAUUCACCCUGCAGUCCAUGGGACUGGGCACAAAAAAGGGCAAAUGUAGUCCACCCUUUCUGCCGUGUGAAAACAGUCAGCACUUCAAACAUUUGGUUGCAUGAAUCAUCUUCACCACCCUACACCAGCAGUAAGGUCUCUGGCAAAGGACAUUGUUGAGGUCCAUGUCUGGGCAGGUGGCCGGGUCCUUCCUCAGUGGCUCUCGACACAACUGCAAAAUAAUCAUCUACCCAGAGCAACCUGCGUGACUCCCCGUGGGAUGCAGGCAGGGAGGAAAGGCAGGUGGACCAGCACAAGGCAGCGAGGUUGUGGGCUGCUCGCACACCGUGAAAUUUAACACCCUGAAACCCGAAGAAACAACAUGAGGAGAAACGAGGUAGGCUAUGAAUGAACUGACUCAGAGCCGUCGUGAUCUUUGGUCAUGGUGAAUGAAGCGAAAGAAAUGCUGUGAAAUCUGUACCUCUGUGCAAUACCUUUCUGGCUAAUCCUGCUCCAGCAGUGACUCCAGAAAGCUGAUUUCCUGGGAGCUUUAGCUCAUGUCACAGUCAGAUCUGGUACCUGAUACAGAGCCCAAGACAGAAGCGUGCACACCUAGCAGACCAAGGGAUUAUCCAAACACUAAAUCGCAUCAGACAGAAAAUGGCAGGGCAACUGUUUUGGGGGUCAUUUGUAUAACUUUUCUAAUGUGUAUUUUUUGGUGGGUUUUUUGGUGUAUUUUAAUUUUAAAGUGCUUGGCAUCGUUGAGACGGGAUGUUUUGGAUUAACAAUUAUACAACUCAAGUGCAAAAGCGAAAGGGCCUGCUAAACUAAGUGAGGGCUUUACUUUGAACUUUCUUGGAAAAAGAGCCACGUCUAUAGGGUCUAAGGAUAUAGUCCUGCAAUACUGGUUUAUUGUGGAGAGUGCACAAGAAGAAACAAUAAAAUCAAUGAGGCUUUACAGAGAUCUUGGCAAAUCGUGUAUUAUCUUGUUUUAAAAUGCACUUCUCUGGGGCAAAAAGAGAACAUUUACAAAACAGUGGGUCUUUUUCUAAUUUGGAUAUGAAGCAUAAUCCUAGUUAUCCUUGUGUUCAGAAAGACAGAGGAGAACUGGCACAAAGAAAGGCAAAAAGGAUGGAGAAGAAUGCAAACAACUUUGGUGCACAGACUGUGACCCUUCAGCUUAGAAGUGAGGUGGCUGAAAGCAGUGCAGUGGAGACACAUAAAAUUCUGAGCGUUGUGGAGAAGGCAGAUACAACCCAAAAAGUCAAGGACACCCAGUCAAACUAUGAGGUUUAAAAAUAAAUUAUACCAACGCACUAUUUUUCCAGCCAGUGGAAUUGUGGAACACAUUGCUAGAGAUGAUGUGGAGGCCGAAAUCCUAAAUUAGUUCAAAAAGGCAUUUUCAAGGAGGAAGAGUCCAUGAAGAGUUAUUAAAUGUUCUUCCUGCUUGGUAAAUCCCUGGAUGACUGCACUUUGAGAGGGUACAUCAUGGAAAUAAUUGACCUACAUGUGCCGUGUUUCCUUUCGCUAUGGCAUUGAUACUGGCGAAGAAGGACUAGGUGGGGUAUUGCCCUGACUUGGGGUGGUCUCUUUUGGUCUUACACCACAUUUUUGCCCAGAAAUGUCUGUUCAGAAUGAGAAAUGAAUGAUUGUAUGUAUUUUAAUCUUAACAUACAGUGUCCUAAUAGUAAGUUUUAACUGCCUUAGACCAGCUUUUACUUUACCCAGACAUUCAGGAUUGGUUUCACAUCUUAAGCAGAAGCAGGGCUCCCAUUAGUGGUGCCCUUAUUUGCCUCCUAAAAAGAAUGCAAAAUUAAGAUCCCUUUUCCAUUAUGCCCUCUAGAAAUAUGAACAAUUUAUUCUUUAAAAGAACUAAAUGUGGUUGUCAGUGCAUCUUUGAGCUAUGACCUAUAGUUAUCUGUGUUAUCUGUGUUGCUCCAUCUUGCCACGGUCUCCUUGCGUUUCUGGGUCAGGGAGCCCAACUCCAAACACAUGCCCACUUCUUUUCCCAAAGAUCUGAAGCUUUUCAUGAGUAGGACAGAUCUUAGUCUUGUGCAACUGGCAGAGACCCACUGCCUGCAGGAAAGCUACAGUGCUUUGUAAAGUAUUGCUGAAUACUUACAUUCACGACUCUUUGCAUCCACCUCAACCAUACCCUGGAGUUCCUGUGUGCAAAUGUAGCCAACAUCUGUUGCAAAAGUGAUAUUAAACAGCUUUGGGUUAGCAUAUUUACCAAUGAAAACCUGCUUUUACGUGGUGGAAGCAGUUAUCCUUCAAAAAUCAUUUUCUUCUUCUGCCAGUUAUCUUAAAACUCUGGGGUGAUAAAUGGCUUUUCUUCAGCUGUUUUAGACUUUUGUUCUCUGACCUUUUGAAGUUAUACUUCUUCAUCUUUCCCAGUGUUAUAUUCUCCUGGAGCUGGUUCUGAUAUCUGAGGCACUUGCGAAGAUUUUUCUUUCCCCUUAGCUUUACUGACAAAGUCUAGAUAGACUGUUGAAACCAAGUUUCUUUGAAGCCAAGGAUUUAGCAAGGUUCAACUAGGAAUUGGACAUUUUUUAUUGAUAGCAAGUGCAGAGAGAACUGUAACUCUAAAGCUAACAAAACUAGAGACUUGGAAAUAUUAUCAGACCUCAUUCUUCAGGGUUUAAGUGUUUCAGUAUAAAGAUUUAAGAUGAAAUUCUCCUAGCAGGCAGAUUAUCCCACAGCUGCAUUAAUUUUCUCUAAAGCAUCUGAUACUGGCUUACAUGUUAAAAAAUGUCUUGCAUGGAUGUACAUUAGGUCUGGUCCAGGGUGUCCCUGUUGACUACUGCCCAAUUCAUUAUUUUAAGCUUCUCUGUAAGAGCUUGUGGAAAAUCACAGUGGGACUUUCUUAUAAUCUGAGACAGACCUCUCUUUUUAAGGAAUUCCUUCAAGAUCUUUUAGUAGGGAUUUUAUCUUUUUUUCAUCUUUUAAGGUUAUUAAAACUCUGCUAGAACAAACACCAGGCAAUUUAUUAUGGUGUGAUCUUAGCAAAACCCCUUUCUACCUGGAGCCAUAAUAGAGCUUGCUCAUCUUUUGUAAAAGCCAGUACAAACUGGUCUGAGAUAGUUAAAACUGAGAUCCAUACACUAGAUACUGCUGAUCUGAAAUGUGUAGAAUAAGUGACAAUAUGAAAGAAAGAUCAAACAAUAUUUUUUCAAGUUAGGAAACCUCCUUUGUAUCCAGUUCUGCCUCAGAGAUGCUUACCCUUAUUUUCUCACAUUUGAGAUGAAAUUAAGAUUAACAGUGGGUAUUGCAGAGUCUCCAUCACUGUAGAUUUGGCAGAAUAGUUCAGAGAGAUGGACAGACAUUGGGAAUGGUCUAGGCAGAUGGAUUAUCUGAUUUCUGCCCACAGGACCUUCAGUCCUUGGAAAAACUGGGGCCAUUGCUUCCAUGGAAAAGCAAUGUCAAAUAGAGGUACAUUCUUUAAAGAUAUUUAUUUACACAUUUUACAAAAAGUUUAAUAAAGAAAGAGGUGUCAUAGUGAAAGCAAUAGUUGUGGGUAACUCGUAUUUUCAAUAUUUUCAUGAAUUGGAUCAGUAAUCCUCAGGGAGAUCAGCCUAAAUCCCUAUGCUGUAUCUCCCCUGUCACCAUGUGAGUGACCCCAUUGAAGUUUCAGGCCUCCUGGCUCUGUAUGGAUAUAUUUGUGGUGUAAAGGACUUGCUGCUAAGGCUUCUAGCACAUGCUAAAAUGGUUGUUUGGGGCUUUUAUCUUUGUAAUAGAUUCUCUACUUCUUUGUUAAAGCACUGAAAUUGCUAACAGUAACCCAGAGACCAUCCCACUAGAGGAAGGAUUUACCAGGCAGGGAAGGAAAGGAAGGAAGAUAGGGACAAACAUGUAUAUAAAAACAUAAUAAAAUAAGUUAUCUUUACAGGUUUUCUCUUUAUAAUCCCAUUCCACCAUGCUGUACCUACUUUCCUGCUGUAGGAGCAUUAGGUGUUUGUUUCCCAUUUGCAAAAAUCUCCCCUGUGAUUUAAUUUCACAACAAACUUCGCUCACUUUCUCUUAUACUUUUCCUGCACUAGUAAUAAAAGUUGCUGUAAGAUUUA